UACGUAGGGGGCGAGCGUUGUCCGGAUUUAUUGGGCGUAAAGAGCUCGUAGGCGGUUCGAUAAGUCGGACGUGAAAUCUCCACGCUCAACGUGGAGGGGCCGUUCGAUACUGUCGUGACUCGAGUCCGGUAGGGGAGUGUGGAAUUCCCGGUGUAGCGGUGAAUGCGCAGCAGAUCGGGAGGAACACCAGUGGCGAAGGCGGCUCACUGGACCGGUACUGACGCUGAUGCGCGAAGCG
rnacentral:rRNA from 1 species